UUAGUAGAUCGGGCGCUCGAUCCCGCCUUUGGCGGGAUAGGAAAGUCCGAGCUCCACGGAGCAGCGUAGCGGCUAACGGCCGCCCACCGAAAGGUGAGGAUUAGAGGACAGAGACGAGCCAAAUCUUGCGAAGCAAGAUUUGAUCCUGAGGCCGCGACGAAUAGAAGCGGCCGAAGGACCAAAGGGUACUUCGGCGGCUAAAAUGCUUCCUUAUGGGUCGCAUUUUAACGCCGCCUCAGUAUCCAAAUUGCUUCGCAAUUUGGGUGAGACGACCAAUCUCUACGCGGAGUAAGACCAAAUAGGUUCCGAUCAAGGUGUUGCUCGCACCUACUCUAAAAUCAUGAGUAUCGGAACGGGUAAGGUCGCUCGACCCCGCCAGUAAUGGCGGGGCUAGAUAGAUGAGCGCCUCGUCCGCCGCUUUGCUCUGCAAAGCGGCGAGGCAAGACAGAACUCGGCUUACAGAUCUGCUAAAAUA
rnacentral:RNase_P_RNA from 1 species